CCCAGGCCUGCUCGGGCCCACGUCGUCGGAGACUAGCAGGAACCGCCUCCUCCCCUUUGCAUAUCGGGGAAGUGUAGUUCUCAAGAGCAUUGUGGGGCCGGUUGCUGCCCGAAUCUCCCUAGGGAAUGGGACCGAGUUGGGGACCCAGACCCCCUGGCCUUCAUGGCCACAGUCCUGUCGCCGCCCCACCAAAAGCCAAUCUCUAACAGCCCAGACACGUUUCGGACCGGGACCCACGCACAGGCCCCUCCCCGGUCUUGGAAGGCCCUUCCUCUGAGAACAAAGGGAUGUUGGGCCAGAUCAUCUUCCACGCUUCUUCAGCUCCAAGAUAGGAACGCGGUCCCCCAUCACUCACUGGCCGGCUGCUCCUCACCCAUCCGGUCUCACUGGGACGCCACGUUCCUCAGGGAAGAAUCUGGAACGAUGAAGGUGGUGAUGAUUGUGCCUGUAGCCAAGACCGGGAGAACCCUGGACCCCUACAUCUUCCCCACCCCUGGAAUGUCACUAUACAUAUCUGACUUCCUUCUGAUGUUGCCUUUGACCCUAAAGUCAAUAUGAUAAAGUAACAAGAAGCUGGGACAGAGGAACAAACACAGCCCACUCACGUAGUGGUGGCAACAUUCUGUUAGAAAGGAGGGGAGUCAAAUAAAAAAACACCCCUCCCCCAAUUUCCUUGAUCACCUCCCUAAAGACAGAGGAGAACAUGGACACCCUCCAUCCUGGCAGACAUGCCGUGUGGUCAGUUUGUGCGGU
rnacentral:antisense_RNA from 1 species